AGUAGACCGCUGCUUCUAUGUUGACAACUGUUUGCAGAGCCUACAGUCUGCACCAGAAGCGAAACAGUUGGUCGACCGCCUCAGAUCUCUCCUUGCCUCCGGAGGGUUCGAAAUCCGUCAAUGGGCCAGCAACCAGCCUGAGGUCAUCAACCACCUACCUGCCGAGGCCAGGUCCGACAAGCUUGACCUGUGGCUGGCCCAUGACAAGUCAGAGGCACACGAAUCAACCUUAGGCCUGACCUGGUAUUGCAAUGUGGAUGCUUUCAGUUACAAGAGCAGAGUAGUCACCUACGACCAGAUCACAAUGCGCAACGUGUAUCGUGUCUUAGCCAGCCAGUAUGACCCACUCGGGUUCAUACUUCCCUACACCACACGGGCGAAGAUACUGGUCCAGCGCCUGUGGGACCAGCAAAGAGGUUGGGAUGAUCCCAACCUCCCUGAAGAUCUGCUGGCUGCAUGGCACACCUGGGAAGGGGAGUUAGAGUACUUACCUGAAGUCCAGUUGCCAAGAUGCUACACUCCUGCUGGCAUGGACCGUCCAGACACCAAGAGAGACAUUCACGUCUUUUGUGAUGCCUCUGAAAGGGCGUACGGAGCGGUUACGUACCUGAGGUCUGAAGAUGUCCAGGGGAGAGUUCAUGUUGCCUUUCUCCUUGCACGCUCACGAGUUGCACCCAGGAAACAGCUUUCGAUGCCUCGAUUGGAGCUGUGUGCAGCAGUUACAGGAGCUCAGUUAGCUAGGCUCCUGAGGUCAGAGCUCACCUUGGAGAUCCGACAAGUCGUGCUCUGGAGUGAUUCAACAACAGUCCUCACAUGGCUUCACUCAGAGUCGUGCCGCUUCAAAGUAUUUGUCGGAACCAGGGUGGCCGAGAUUCAAGACCUCACUGACCUCAGGGCCUGGCGGUACAUUGAGUCCUCCGAGAACCCAGCCGACGACCUCACAAGAGGUAAACCGUUGCAAGAGCUGGCAACACCUAACAGGUGGUGUGAUGGACCAGAGUUCCUGAAGUUGCCACCAGAUAAGUGGC
rnacentral:lncRNA from 1 species